rnacentral:rRNA from 1 species
UGGGGAAUUUUGGACAAUGGACGCAAGUCUGAUCCAGCCAUGCCGCGUGCGGGAAGAAGGCCUUCGGGUUGUAAACCGCUUUUGUCAGGGAAGAAACGAGUUUCUCUAAUACAGAGACUUAAUGACGGUACCUGAAGAAUAAGCACCGGCUAACUACGUGCCAGCAGCCGCGGUAAUACGUAGGGUGCAAGCGUUAAUCGGAAUUACUGGGCGUAAAGCGUGCGCAGGCGGUUAUGUAAGACAGAUGUGAAAUCCCCGGGCUCAACCUGGGACCUGCAUUUGUGACUGCAUAGCUAGAGUACGGCAGAGGGGGAUGGAAUUCCGCGUGUAGCAGUGAAAUGCGUAGAUAUGCGGAGGAACACCGAUGGCGAAGGCAAUCCCAUGGGCCUGUACUGACGCUCAUGCACGAAAGCGUGGGGAGCAAAAA